rnacentral:lncRNA from 1 species
GUUGUUGUUUAUUUACUUGUUUAGAUCCUGCUGCCUAUUCAUGUACCUGGCACAGAACUGUUGUUCAAUAAAUACUUGCAGAAUCACAGGAUUAAUAGCAGAUGCACUGCAGUCCUCCUGGCUCCUGCACUUGCCACAGGAGAAUGGCAGUACUUUGGAGGUUGCCCAUCUCCUGUGGGCUCCAGAAACCUCAGGGGCGGCUGGGGUGGGUGGGGGGUUAUUUGUGAAAGCACUAAGCCUGCUCAAACUCAACAACCUUCUAGCCUGUGUCGUCCCCAGGUUAU